UCAGUUUUCUCUUUCUGAAUUCAUGCUUUUGUUUUGGGUAAAUUGAAUUUCCAGUGCAAUUUGAUGAGAUCUGAUUAAAGGUGAGGAAAUUUGACAAUUUCCGUAUUGUUCUGUUUUGAUUUGUGGAUUGGAUUUUACUCCAUUUCAACUUGAAAAUGCGAUAUGCUAACUGAUUUUGAUUUUUUACUGCAAAAUUGUGUAAUUGUGAUUGUUUGCUACACUUUCUUUUUCAUCUCAUUUUAAAAUUUCUGACUAUCAGAAGCAUGAAAUUCGAUCGUAAAGAUUGAUCACAAAAACCUUAUCUCAGGAAAGCGGGUAGUAAAUGGUAAAACGUCGUCGUUUGUCAAAGAAAUCAACAAGUUUGUCAAAGUAAUAAGAAAGAUCUUUUUCAACUUUUCACUUUACCUUACUCCGCUUCACACGUUUUCUGUUAAACUCUUGUUUUAUUGUUUUCUAUUUUACUUAGCUUCUGUUCCAUUUUCAAUUUCGUCAUUUUUAUAACUAUAUUCUUUAUGAUAGUUAUUUCAGAAAGUGAAAGGUGUAAUUAUAUAUAUGUGUCUUGACCUAAACCUUUAUUGAUUAUUCUGUAGUAUAUGCCACACAUAGAUAUAUAAGCACACUAAAAUAUUAAUUUCACAUUUAUCCUACUUUUGCAAUGUAUUCAAUGAAUCUGUCCCAUCAGUGUCCCUAGCUAGUAGUAUGAACCUUCAUUAAAUAUUUUCUUUUCAAUAGAACUUGCUCAAUUUGUGAAAAUACUUUGUUUUCGAAAUGAGUUUUGAUAUUUUGCUGAAUUAAGUUUGAUUAAUAAGAUGUUUUUUUAGUGUAGUAUACAAUCAAGCAACGGCAACCUUCCAAUGGUGAUAAUAUAUUAUAUAGAUGUCAUGCAUUACAUAUGCUAUGUGUGUCAGCAGCCUCAAAAGUAGGUUGUUUUUUCUUUAUUUAUAAAAUUAAUGUGAUUGCGAUCACUUCUUAAGCUUUGUCUGGCGUAAAUGCAGAUGGCCCACCAAGAAUGAUGUGGUUGAAAUAGGAAUGAAACUCGAUGGCUAAGGGGAUCAAGACGUGUGUGAACACAAUUGUUGAAUUCAUACUUCACAUCAUGCACAUGGAGUUAUGGACCCCCAAACAUGCUAAAGCCUUUUUCUAUAUUGACUCUCUUCUUUUGGCUA